rnacentral:lncRNA from 1 species
UCAGACUUUAUCUUUGAUAGUUCUCCUGUGGUCAAAUACACAUUGGUUAGAGUCAUUCAAGUUUUUUUUUCUUGAUUUGUUUGACCGAUUUCUCUUCAAUGCUUUUUUAUGUUAGUUUUUCCACUAGGACUUAGCCCAAAUUUUUCAUUAUCAUCCCUAAGGCUAGCUUGGACAAAGAGUUAGGUAGUGUGUUUUUUAAUCUUGAUAUUUUUUCACCUUAUCUUUGUAAAAGGUGGUCAUAAAGGC